rnacentral:lncRNA from 1 species
AUGUGGAGGCUAUAUACAGGGGGUACUGGUUCAGAGUCAAUGUGGAGGCUAUAUACAGGGGGUACUGGUUCAGAGUCAAUGUGGAGACUAUAUACAGGGGGUACUGGUUCAGAGUCAAUGUGGAGGCUAUAUACAGGUGGUGCUGGUUCUGAGUCAAUGUGGAGGCUAUAUACAGGGGGUACUGGUACAGAGUCAAUGUGGAGGCUAUAUACAGGGGGUACUGGUACAGAGUCAAUGUGGAGGCUAUAUACAGGGGGUACUGGUACAGAGUCAAUGUGGAGGCUAUAUACAGGGGGUACUGGUUCAGAGUCAAUGUGGAGGCUAUAUACAGGGGGUACUGGUUCAGAGUCAAUGUGGAGGCUAUAUACAGGGGGUACCGGUACAGAGUCAAUGUGGAGGCUAUAUACAGGGGGUACCGGUUCAGAGUCAAUGUGGAGGCUAUAUACAGGGGUACCGGUUCAGAGUCAAUGUGGAGGCUAUAUACAGGGGGUACCGGUUCAGAGUCAAUGUGGAGACUAUAUACAGGGGGUACCGGUUCAGAGUCAAUGUGGAGACUAUAUACAGGGGGUACCGGUUCAGAGUCAAUGUGGAGGCUAUAUACAGGGGGUACCGGUACAGAGUCAAUGUGGAGGCUAUAUACAGGGGGUACCGGUACAGAGUCAAUGUGGAGGCUUUAUACAGGGGGUACCGGUUCAGAGUCAAUGUGGAGGCUAUAUACAGGGGGUACCGGUACAGAGUCAAUGUGGAGGCUUUAUACAGGGGGUACCGGUUCAGAGUCAAUGUGGAGGCUAUAUACAGGGGGUACCGGUACAGAGUCAAUGUGGAGGCUUUAUACAAGGGGGUACCGGUUCAGAGUCAAUGUGGAGGCUAUAUACAGGGGGUACCGGUACAGAGUCAAUGUGGAGGCUAUAUACAGGGGGUACCGGUACAGAGUCAAUGUGGAGGCUAUAUACAGGGGGUACUGGUACAGAGUCAAUGUGGAGGCUAUAUACAGGGGGUACCGGUACAGAGUCAAUGUGGAGGCUAUAUACAGGGGGUACCGGUACAAGAGUCAAUGUGGAGGCUUUA